rnacentral:ncRNA from 1 species
GGAUAAGGGAUGGGUUUGAAAGAUUGAGAUAGUCGGGGUUGAUUGGGAAACAAUAACAUGGUUUAUGUGCUCGUUUUGGGUAAAUAGAGUUUCUAGCAUUUAUGUUAGUACUUGUUCCCCCGGUAGUUUAGUUACGUAGCCAAUUGUGGAACUUUCUGGCUAAAAUUUUUAAGAAUACUAUUUGGGUUAAACCAAUUAGUUCUUAUCAAUUAUAACGAUUAUCAAUUAACAAUCAAUUCAGAACUGGCACGGACUUGGGGAAUCCGACUGUCUAAUUAAAACAAAGCAUUGUGAUGGCCCUAGCGGGUGUUGACACAAUGUGAUUUCUGCCCAGUGCUCUGAAUGUCAAAGUGAAGAAAUUCAAGUAAGCGCGGGUCAACGGCGGGAGUAACUAUGACUCUCUUAAGGUAGCCAAAUGCCUCGUCAUCUAAUUAGUGACGCGCAUGAAUGGAUUAACGAGAUUCCUACUGUCCCUAUCUACUAUCUAGCGAAACCACAGCCAAGGGAACGGGCUUGGAAUAAUUAGCGGGGAAAGAAGACCCUUUUGAGCUUGACUCUAAUCUGGCAGUGUAAGGAGACAUAAGAGGUGUAGAAUAAGUGGGAGAUAUUAGACCUCGGUUUGGUAUCGUCAAUGAAAUACCACUACUCUUAUUGUUUCCUUACUUACUUGAUUAAAUGGAACGUGUAUCAUUUCCUAGCCAUUAUACGGAUAUAUUUAUUAUAUCUUAUGGUAUUGGGUUUUGAUGCAAGCUUCUUGAUCAAAGUAUCACGAGUUUGUUAUAUAAUCGCAAACAAAUUCUUUAAUAAAACGAUGCAUUUAUGUAUUUUUGAUUUGAAAAUUUGGUAUAACUCCAAUUACUCAGGUAUGAUCCAAUUCAAGGACAUUGCCAGGUAGGGAGUUUGACUGGGGCGGUACAUCUCUCAAAUAAUAACGGAGGUGUCCCAAGGCCAGCUCAGUGCGGACAGAAACCACACAUAGAGCAAAAGGGCAAAUGCUGACUUGAUCUCGGUGUUCAGUACACACAGGGACAGCAAAAGCUCGGCCUAUCGAUCCUUUUGGUUUAAAGAGUUUUAACAAGGAUUCCACCACA